GUGGAUUAGAUACCCUGGUAGUCCACGCCGUAAACGAUGAGCACUAGGUGUCGGGGCCGCAAGGUUUCGGUGCCGCAGUUAACGCAUUAAGUGCUCCGCCUGGGGAGUACGCACGCAAGUGUGAAACUCAAAGGAAUUGACGGGGACCCGCACAAGCAGCGGAGCAUGUGGUUUAAUUCGAAGCAACGCGAAGAACCUUACCAGGUCUUGACAUCCCUCUGACAGUCCCUUAACCGGGAUCUCCCUUCGGGGCAGAGGAGACAGGUGGUGCACGGUCGUCGUCAGCU
rnacentral:rRNA from 1 species